rnacentral:lncRNA from 1 species
AGUUCCGCCUUGGGACGAGGCCCUGGCUGGGGGAACCGCAUCAGGCCUGACACCCAUCCCAUUCCCCCCUAAACCCAGAACGACAUCCAACCUCAUUCCGCAGCCCCUUCCCGACCUCGCCGCUCAGGCUAUGAUGGAAAGGUCCCUGGGAGUGGGGAGGAGGGCGAAUUUAAACCCAGAGAGAGAUCCUGUAGCCCAGUUCUCCUCGGUUCCCUAAACCUCCAGGAAAGCGGAGAAAGUCACAUUGUGGUGGCAGCUGCAGGUUUUUUUUUUUUAAUCUGUUAAUAAAACGCAAGUGAAUCAAAUCCGCCCUAAGGGAAGGGGGGGGGGCGCGGCGAGGCAGGGGCCAUGGUGUUUGCAGAAGUUGGAAAUUUAAUAAGAAGGAAAAAUAAAAAUAGCCACUGUGCUGGAGAGAGAGAGAGAGAAGGUUGGGAGAAGCAGCGCCCCUCACCUUCUGAGCUACUCAAGAGAUGGGGGACAGGAGCAGUACUGCCAAGAACAGUUGUGCAAGUUGCACACUGCACAAGCAUACCAGACAGAAGCUAGAGCAGAAGCUGACGUCGUCUGUUCCCCUCACCACACAUUGCAUCUGCCCAGAGGAAGAGGUGCCGUGCUGGGCAGUGAAUGAAUGAACCUUGCCCUGGGUUUAACACUCCAGUGGGAUGAACAGACAAACCCCACAAGCACUGCAUACGCAGCCAACAAAGAAAAAGGCUUCCUUCAUUGACUUCUGUGGGGAUUCAAUGACGUCGUACACAUAAAGCACUUAGCAUAUGCCUGGUACAUGGCAGCAUUCUUUCCAUCUCUCACCUCCUCAUGCCUCCUGUGGAAAAAAUGAAUGGACAGAUGAGAAAAGUUGGAGCUGGAGAAAGACCGUGUUCCUCGUGUUCGGUGGGACCUGGGAAGGCUGCUAAAACCCAGGGAGCAGGAGUUCUCCUCCCUCCAUCCUUAUCCACAGUCUGGGUCCCAUCCAGACCCUCCUCUCCAAACCGGGGGUUUGGGACAAAGCAGGUGAGGGAGGCAUUUCAUU